AGACAUUCUGCAAAUACAAGAAACAACUGCUUCUGAAAGGAAAUUUCUUUUGCAAUGCCUCCAAAAGUGACAUCCAUUGAAAAAGUCUCACCUCUCUAAGCAGGCACUGUACAUAUUCAACUGAAGAGAGCCUUACAGAUUUGUUCCUGCUAAGAAGCUAGCGUGACGUUACCACAGUGUUGCUCCGUCAGCGGGCAGUGGCACAUAGCAGGCAUGGACCCAGGCAUGCAGUACAGCCAGCACACAGCCCUGCCGAGAGCCCACCAUGCACAUCUCUGCCUUGCUUCACCACUUUGGCCCAAGCUCCUGAGCCAAUGUCUCUGUCCCACAUUCAGCUCCAAGCAUUCUGAAGAAUGUCGAGGAGCAGAGUGUGAGUGGCUGUGAAAUUAAGCUGGGACUCAGGAGAGCAGUCUAUAAUUGUCACAAGGUUCCUGUGCGGCCAUUGCAAGGU
rnacentral:lncRNA from 1 species